ensembl:lncRNA
UUUUUUUUUUUUUUUUUUUUUUCUGAGUUUUAGAGACAAGGUCUCACACUGUUGCCCAGGCUGGAGUACAGUGGUGAAAUCAUAACUCACUGCAGCCUCAAACUCCUGGGUUCAAGGAGUGAUCCUCUCACCCCAGCCUCCGGAGUAGCUGGGACUACAGGUGCAUGACACUGUGCCUAGCUAUUUUAAAAUAUUUUGUAGAGACAGGGUUUCACUGUUAUCCAGGCUGGCUUCAAACUCCUGGCCUGAAGCAAUCACUCCUAUCUCAGCCUCUCAAAAGACUGAGGUAAUUGAUGCGAGCCACCAUGCCUGGCAUCUGCCUGUUUAUCUGUCAGUCAAUCAUCUAUCUUAUAUAUACACACAUACAUAUAUACAUUGUAUAUAUAUUUGGGGAUGGAGUCUUGCCUUGUCACCCAGGUUGGGGUGCAAUGGCACGAUCUCAGCUCACUGCAACCUCCGCCUCCUGGGUUCAAGCAAUUCUCCUGCCUCAGCCUCCUGAGUAACUGGGAUUAUGGGCACCUGCCACCACACUUGGCUAAUUUUUGUAUUUUUAGUAGAGACGGGGUUUCACCCUGUUGGCCAGGCUGGUCUCAUACUCCUGACCUCAGGUGAUCCACCCACGUCGACCUCCCAGAAUGCUGGGAUUACAGGCAUGAGCCACUGAGCUGGCCAUAUGUAUAUUUAAAACAUUUGAAAGUAUAUGUGUGUGUGUGUGUGUGUGUGUAUGUUUUUAUGAAACUAUUUGAAAGUGUGUGUGUGUGUGUGUGUGUGUAUAUAUAUAUAUAUCCUUUUACCUUCUCCCAUACACCACAAUGGCCUUAGAACACUUGAACACCAAUCGCCCACCUUCUGACUUCUGUGCUAUGGGGCUGUGUAUUUUAUUCUGUCUUGGUUUUUUCCAUCAAGGUUUCAUUAUGCACAGACAAAGGAGGAGCUCAGUCCUUGUGGCAGCCGCUCUCCUCAUGAAAACUGGGGCCCUGCUCAGUCCUUUCCACUCCCUCUUGGUAAGGAUGUAUGUCCCCACCCUUUUCUUGAUGAAUGUGAGGGCCAGAUCUCCUGUGGAUAUUUUGAACUGCUCUGUGGGCAAGUUGCUCGCUUGUUUCAGGUGAAGCCCACACUUCUCAGAUCAUGCCCCGCAGGAACCUGCUGUGCCUGGUGCAAUGCCUGCCAGGGGGCUGUGCUUUGUCUUGUUCGCCCUCUUGGUCAUCUUAUGACCCUUGCUGAGGCCCACAGUCCGGAGUACCAAGCCACAGCUGGGCCUACACUGUGGCCCUGGGGGUCCAGAUGGCAGUGGACAACCUCUUGUUAGCUUCUUAGAUGUUAGCUGUAGAUUUUGUUUAGUUUUAUGUAGUCAGUAGCAGAUCAGAUAAAAUACAGAGUUCACAUGUGAUUCACUCCUUCCUUUAUCUCAUUCCUUCCAUCUGAGAUUACGUUCCUUCUGCCUGAAAUAAAUACUUUGGAGUUUCCUUUUCUUAGGGUCUUUGGUAGCAAAUGAUUUUAGGUUUUAUUUGUUUGAUAUUCCUCCUCCUCCUCUCCUCCUCUUCCUCCUUCUUCUCCCUUGUUCUUUAUAGAUAUUUUCUGUGGGUAUAGAGUUCUAGGUUGAUGGUAAUUUCCUCAGCACAUUGAAGGUAUUAUUCCAUCAUCAUCUUACUUUUAUUGUUGCUCUUGAGAAAUCAGCUGUCAGUCGAAUUUUUGCAGGCUGAAGUUUUCUGACUCUUUUCUCUGUUUUUUUUUUUUUUUUCUUUCUUUCUUUUUUCUUUUUUUUGAGACAGAGUUUUGCUCUUGUUGCCCAGGCUGGAGUGCAAUGGCAUGAAUCUUGGCUCACUGCAACCUCUGCCUCCUGGGUUCAAGCAAUUCUUCUGCUUCAGCCUCCCAAGU